rnacentral:rRNA from 1 species
GACGAACGCUGGCGGCGUGCCUAAUACAUGCAAGUCGAGCGGAUCUUCAUUAGCUUGCUUUUGAAGAUCAGCGGCGGACGGGUGAGUAACACGUGGGCAACCUGCCUGUAAGACUGGGAUAACUUCGGGAAACCGGAGCUAAUGCCGGAUAAUCCUUUCCCUCACAUGAGGGAAAGCUGAAAGACGGUUUCGGCUGUCACUUACAGAUGGGCCCGCGGCGCAUUAGCUAGUUGGUGAGGUAAUGGCUCACCAAGGCGACGAUGCGUAGCCGACCUGAGAGGGUGAUCGGCCACACUGGGACUGCGACACGGCCCAGACUCCUACGGGAGGCAGCAGUAGGGAAUCUUCCGCAAUGGACGAAAGUCUGACGGAGCAACGCCGCGUGAACGAUGAAGGCCUUCGGGUCGUAAAGUUCUGUUGUCAGGGAAGAACAAGUACCGGAGUAACUGCCGGUACCUUGACGGUACCUGACCAGAAAGCCACGGCUAACUACGUGCCAGCAGCCGCCGUAACAC